AUCGCGCCGCCGUUCCGUUGCCGUCACGCCACACCCUAUCUGCGUUGCUGUCGCUGAUUGGUGGAAGGGAGGAGCAGAGUGCGCACAGAGGAAAAGAAGCCGUUCACCACUGCCAAACCUCCGUCGCCAGUGAUUCGCCACCGCUGAAGCUCGUCACUGCUGCCGUGCCACCGCCGCGGAGAGAGGGAGUGACGCGAUUAAAGAGAGGAGGAGGAAGGAAACCCGUGCGCCGUCGGAGCUAGUUUCUCCCAGUCGCCGGCGUUGUCUUCGUCUGAACCACCACCAGAUCCGCCGCUGCCAAAGCUUCUGGUUGCGCUUCUGCCGUCGGCGAAGCUUGCCGUCACGGGAGGUGAUCCGGUAUCGCGUUCUUGCUGCUUUGAGCCACCAGCACCGCUGCUGCUACCCCAAAAUUUUGUUUCUGUUUCCUAGGGUUUGCUAUCUCAACCCCUUAAAGUUACGUUGGUUCUGUUCUUGCCGUUACCUGAAUCUCUGCCUCCGCGGGUAUUGCCGUUGGAGCCGCUGGAAACCAACGUUGGAGCUGCUCUUGAUGAUUCUGAUGCUGCUACGUAGGUUCGGAGCUGCUGUGUUGUUGCCGAAGGAAGGGAACUCAUCAGAAAAAUGUUAUUGAGGCUGAUGUUUGGUUUGAUUGCGUUGUUAACGCGACAUUGAGUGACACAGGUUCGAAGACUCAAUUUGAAGUUGCGGGUGAUUGUUAGACCUUAUCUAUGAGAUUUGUUUAUGAGUUAAGUUUCUUUCAUAGAGUUUCCUCGCCU